UUGGUCUGUGAUGCUUCGUCCACUGCUCGAGUUUCACUGCCAUGAGAAGACUCACAUGCACUACCAUCUGAGACGCG
ensembl:snoRNA SNORD33 Small nucleolar RNA Z195/SNORD33/SNORD32 family